GGUGGAUUGGUCGAGUGGUUAGGCAACGGUCUGCAAAACCGUGUACACGGGUUCGAUUCCCGUAUCCACCUCCG
rnacentral:tRNA from 2 species